GUACCUGCAGAAAAAGCGCCGGCUAACUACGUGCCAGCAGCCGCGGUAAUACGUAGGGCGCAAGCGUUAUCCGGAAUUAUUGGGCGUAAAGAGCUCGUAGGCGGUUUGUCGCGUCUGCUGUGAAAUCCCGAGGCUCAACCUCGGGCCUGCAGUGGGUACGGGCAGACUAGAUUGCGGUAGGGGAGAUUGGAAUUCCUGGUGUAGCGGUGGAAUGCGCAGAUAUCAGGAGGAACACCGAUGGCGAAGGCAGAUCUCUGGGCCGUAACUGACGCUGAGGAGCGAAAGGGUGGGGAGCAAACAGGCUUAGAUACCCUGGUAGUCCACCCCGUAAACGUUGGGAACUAGUUGUGGGGUCCAUUCCACGGAUUCCGUGACGCAGCUAACGCAUUAAGUUCCCCGCCUGGGGAGUACGGCCGCAAGGCUAAAACUCAAAGGAAUUGACGGGGACCCGCACAAGCGGCGGAGCAUGCGGAUUAAUUCGAUGCAACGCGAAGAACCUUACCAAGGCUUGACAUAUACGAGAACGGGCCAGAAAUGGUCAACUCUUUGGACACUCGUAAACAGGUGGUGCAUGGUUGUCGUCAGCUCGUGUCGUGAGAUGUUGGGUUAAGUCCCGCAACGAGCGCAACCCUCGUUCUAUGUUGCCAGCACGUAAUGGUGGGAACUCAUGGGAUACUGCCGGGGUCAACUCGGAGGAAGGUGGGGAUGACGUCAAAUCAUCAUGCCCCUUAUGUCUUGGGCUUCACGCAUGCUACAAUGGCCGGUACAAAGGGCUGCAAUACCGUGAGGUGGAGCGAAUCCCAAAAAGCCGGUCCCAGUUCGGAUUGAGGUCUGCAACUCGACCUCAUGAAGUCGGAGUCGCUAGUAAUCGCAGAUCAGCAACGCUGCGGUGAAUACGUUCCCGGGUCUUGUACACACCGCCCGUCAAGUCAUGAAAGUCGGUAACACCUGAAGCCGGUGGCCUAACCCUUGUGGAGGGAGCUG
rnacentral:rRNA from 1 species